CGGCGCAUGGCGGGGCAUCCCCGCCAGCGCUUGACCAUCAACCGCCUGCAAAGGAGGCAAACCAAUGGCUAC
rnacentral:antisense_RNA from 1 species